rnacentral:lncRNA from 1 species
UCGAUGCAGCCCCGCCAACCCGUACGAACUCGUGAAAAAGAAGAAAAGUAUUAGCGAAGUCGCCGGCUUGAAAGUAAGUACGAGGAAAUAGUAGUUUGUUGUAUUGAGUUGAUGAUGAUUAUAGAUCUACAAGGGUAGCUAUUUAUAGCCUGUUACAAACGACUUCUUAUCCGACUAGAACUCUAUCUCUAAUUUUAAACAAAAAACAAAUAUUUACAACUACGACUGGUACUAGGUCGAUUAUCGUGCUCUUCAUGGGUUGACUCCCUCUUCAUCUUCAUAAUCCUCUUUAGGCCCACACCAGCCCAAUCGCUCCAACCUCCUAAUCGGCCGAUUUCU